ensembl:snRNA U6 U6 spliceosomal RNA
CUGUUUGCUUCAGCAACCUACAUACUAAAAUUGGAACAAUACAGAAAAGAUUAACAGAGUCCAGCUCAAGAUGAUAUACACUUUUGUGAAGUAUUUUCUACUUUU